CGCCUCUUGCAGAAUCGAAAAUAAGAGGUCCAGCCUGCCCUGUGACCAAAAUGUUUAACGGCCGCGGUAUUUUGACCGUGCGAAGGUAGCGCAAUCACUUGUCUUUUAAAUGAAGACCUGUAUGAAUGGCACAACGAGGGCUUAGCUGUCUCCUUUCCCCAGUCAAUGAAAUUGAUCUCCCCGUGCAGAAGCGGGGAUUUACCCAUAAGACGAGAAGACCCUAUGGAGCUUUAGACUACCAAGCAGAUUAAGUCAAUCCCCUUAAAUAAAAGACUAAACCAAAUAACACCUGCUUCCCUGUCUUUGGUUGGGGCGACCACGGGAAAAAGAAUAACUCCCGCGUGGAACGGAAACACCUUUCUACAACCAAGAGCGACAGCUCUAAAGAACAGAACUUCUGACCUUAAUGAUCCGGCAUCGCCGAUCAACGAACCGAGUUACCCUAGGGAUAACAGCGCAAUCCUCUUAUAGAGUCCAUAUCGACAAGGGGGUUUACGACCUCGAUGUUGGAUCAGGGUAUCCUAAUGGUGCAGCCGCUAUUAAGGGUUCGUUU
rnacentral:rRNA from 1 species